rnacentral:rRNA from 1 species
UACGGAGGGUCCAAGCGUUAUCCGGAAUCAUUGGGUUUAAAGGGUCCGUAGGCGGUUUAAUAAGUCAGUGGUGAAAUCUGGUCGCUCAACGAUCAAACGGCCAUUGAUACUGUUAGACUUGAAUUAUUGGGAAGUAACUAGAAUAUGUAGUGUAGCGGUGAAAUGCUUAGAUAUUACAUGGAAUACCAAUUGCGAAGGCAGGUUACUAUCAAUAUAUUGACGCUGAUGGACGAAAGCGUGGGGAGCGAACAGG